rnacentral:lncRNA from 1 species
AUGGUACCACCUCGUCUUCUUCUGGAACACAGUCCAAGAAAGAAACCAGCAGCUAUUGAAGAGAGAAAAGAGGAAAAGAAAAAGGCUGAUGUAAAGAGGGCUAUGACUGAAACUAAGAAGAAAGAAAAAGAAGGAAAAAAAGAGAAAGCUCAUGAGAAGACAGCUGUCCCUGAAAUUAAAAAAGCAGGUAAGAAAUUGAAGUCUCUCUUUCUCUGCAGUAGAUAUCUGACUACUUAGUGUAGGUGCUUCCAGGUUUUAUGCAUUUGAGAUAGGGGUAUAUGAAAUUCAUUAUCACUUAAGAAUUCGAGAGAGAGGGGUAUAUGUAAUUCAUUAUCACUUAAGAAUCCAAGAGAGAGAAACAUUACAAUAUACUUGUAUAUAUGUGUGCAUAAUGUGUUUACACUAUAUCAUGCAUUUAUAGUAAUUUAUGCAUAUUAUUAUAUAUGCAUACAUGUAUU